rnacentral:lncRNA from 1 species
UUCAUGCUAUUGAUAUUGAAAAAAAGAGGUUGUUGCUAAGAAGACUGCGGCUAGCAAAAAAAACAUACAUCUCAGAGAUGCUUUUGCUACUUAGUUUUAUUUCUUUUUAAGUUAUGAAUUGGUUGUAUAUUUAGAAUCUUUAGAAGUUAAACAAUUAUAUAUCAAUGGAUUGUUGUACAUGUAUGGAUUGUUGUAUAUAAGGCUUGUUGAAUGUAAUAUGAAAAAGGGUUUCAAAUUAUACAGUUUUAGGUGUACUGCUUCAAU